rnacentral:rRNA from 1 species
GAUGAACGCUGGCGGCGUGCCUAAUACAUGCCAGUCGAGCGAACAGACGAGGAGCUUGCUCCUCUGACGUUAGCGGCGGACGGGUGAGUAACACGUGGAUAACCUACCAAUAAGACUGGGAUAACUUCGGGAAACCGGAGCUAAUACCGGAUAAUAUAUUGAACCGCAUGGUUCAAUAGUGAAAGACGGUUUUGCUGUCACUUAUAGAUGGAUCCGCGCCGCAUUAGCUAGUUGGUAAGGUAACGGCUUACCAAGGCAACGAUGCGUAGCCGACCUGAGAGGGUGAUCGGCCACACUGGAACUGAGACACGGUCCAGACUCCUACGGGAGGCAGCAGUAGGGAAUCUUCCGCAAUGGGCGAAAGCCUGACGGAGCAACGCCGCGUGAGUGAUGAAGGUCUUCGGAUCGUAAAACUCUGUUAUUAGGGAAGAACAAAUGUGUAAGUAACUAUGCACGUCUUGACGGUACCUAAUCAGAAAGCCACGGCUAACUACGUG